rnacentral:lncRNA from 1 species
CCGAUAUCAAAGUCUAUUGUUCCGGGUAACAUUGGGGUAUAUUUAAACAACGCUGUUCAAUGAUAAAAUAUUCGGUCAAGGUUUAAGGAUUGUGUUGAAUUCUUGCCCCAUAUUUAUCAAAAUAUUACAGGAUUAUACUGGUUACAAGGUUAUUUAAUGGUCAUUUAAACAGCUGACCAUCUUCUUAUUUGCGUCAAUAGAUUAGAGUACAUUAAAUACAUGUGGCAUGACUUUUUGUUUGUAAACAAACCCUUCACAAUACUAUUCAAUGUCCAUUUUGUCACAGGUACUUAGAGAGGGAGUGUCGGCUUAUUUAUUUGUGCUAAGUGUUUAUUUGGCAGGUGAAAGUUCACAGACAUGGUAUUGCGAACUUUGUGCUGAGUGCAUUCAUAUUUGGGUACGAGGAGGAAAAGGGGAAUGGUCAACUCAGAAAUAUCAAUUACUACAGAAGUGAGGAGUUUGUAAGAGAGAUGUAUAAUGUUAAAAUCUUUAACCAUGUGUUGCAUAGAUAUAAAAAAAAAAGACGUGGUAUGAUUGCCAAUGAGACAACUGUCCACAAGAGACCAAAAUGACACAGAAAUAUACAGUCGAAGAAUUCUUAUAAAAACUAUAUUGAAUAUAAUAUCUUUUUCAACUUUUCAUAUCUGAUUUUCUGAUUUGUUUCUAUUGCGUUUUCAUUUUACAUAUAUAGAAGUUUUUUUUUUUGUUUUUUUUAAUCCCCGCCAUUUUCAAGCCUCAAAUAAUCAGAUACUACAUAUAUAUAUGCAUAUACAAAUCUCGUACUUAUAUUUCUAUUGACACAUUGUAUUAUUGUUUAAAUCUUUCUAAUUGGUUGACAGUUGAAGAGGUGUAUGCUGCAGAGUUUUACCUAAUUGCGUAAUAAUAAUGCGGGAUAUACAUUUGUACGUCAAUGAGAAAACAAUCAUAAGAAUGCGGGAUAUACAUUUGUACGUCAAUGAGAAAACAAUCAUAAGAGCAUAAGAAGUACAGUAAUUUUUUUUAUUCCCAUUGAGUGCCAUAAAAGAAUACGCAAUGUUCAUCUUAUUACGUAACAUUGAAGGGAGGUAAAAAAAAUUGUACUGAUCACACUGUCAUAUCUACAAAUAUAUAAGUGUUGCUUAUUCUUUAGUUUUCUAUGUUGUGUCAUGUGUACUAUUGUUUCAAUUCAAUUCUUUAUUACUUUAAACACAUUAUGCUUAUCAGUGCAAUAAAUACAGAUACAUUUUUAUAGCACAACAUAAUAUAAUACACCAGAGAAGCAAAACAAUAUCAAGUAUUGACCAAUAACAGUUCGGUCCUAUGAAUAAGUGCAUUUAGACAAGAAUUUACACAAAUUACGCAAAUCUUUUACAUUUUCAGUGCUGAGAAGUUGCACUAAUUUGAACGACGAUGGACGUCUAUAAUAACAAGGUUUAAUAAACUGUCUCCUUAAGUCUCUAUAGCAUUCACAUUGUAAAACAAAAUGGAAUUCAUCUUCAGUGAUAUUCAAAGUACAAAGAGUACACUUUCUAUCUAACCUGAUAACGGCCUACUUCAACAAACAAAUUAUUAGAAGACAAUCUAAGGCGAGUUAAAUACACUCUAAAAUUCAGAUGUUUUACUUUAGUUAGAUAAUUC